ensembl:lncRNA
UGUUGUCCUCCUUCGCUCCCUUUAACAGGGCCGACCUCCCACCCGCACACAAGCCCGCCCCUCCCCCGCCGAAGAAGAAGACCUGCGACAUGAAGGGACACCUGACUUCUGAGGACAUCCAGGUGGUGCACCUGGACAAGGACGAGGAGAUGCAGAAGCUUCCCCUCCAGCCUCCAUACUACGACAUGGCGCCCUCUGAGUCAACCCCCUUCACCGAUAAAAUGAACUCUGGCCCCCACAGGGACUGUGACGUCCAGUACGCUGAGCUGGACACCUCCGCCCUGGCCUCGUCUGUCGGCCCCCGCAGCCCGGCCCCUGGGGGCCCCGGGGACCUUGUCGAGUAUGCCACCAUCCAGCCUAGCUCUCACUAGCGCAUGCCUCUGUAGGCCUUUCCCCUCAGCAUCUGACCACCAGUGCUGGGAUCAUCGUGUUCGUAGAUGUAGAGAUGAUUGGGGAACGUCCAACUGUGGGCGGCGCCCAGAAGACGUUCUGAACCCGGCCCCGUACGUGACCUACCAGCCGAUCUGCUCCAUGGAAACCUUCUCCCAGCCAGCCCCACCACCGGCAGCACACCCCCAGCCUCCCACCUCCUUCCUGCCCCAACACCCCUACGCCCACCCCCACCGCCCUCUGCACCAGCAGCCUCCGGGCCAAGAGAUCUCCUACCCCCCCAACAUGGGCCACCCUGUGCCUGGUCCGCGAGCCCCCUUCACCUACUCCAGGGAGCAGUCGGUGUGAGGCGCGGUGACCCCCGCAGUAACCCCCCCCCCCCCCCCCCCCCCCACACACACCUCCGAGGAUCUACGCAACGACCAGCGGAACCGUGACUGCGACGCCUCCCCCUGUCUCCCUCCAACUCCUCCACACGUCGGUGUAGUGUGAGCUCAGUAUACGGGUGGUGUCUUUUAUAUGUGAGCUGUCUCCGUCCUCCCUCUGUGACCCCCCCCCCCCCCCUUGUCCCUACCUUGUGUGUCGUGCACUGCUUGUAUCACGGAAGGCGUAGCGUAUAGAAACACGACACCUAGUGCUGUUAGCCGUUAGACGCUGUUAUCUCCCCACCGCCCUCCUCCAACCUCCUCCACCCCUCUCCGCUGCUCCCUUGUGCCCGUGGGAUCCGGGUCCUCAUUCCCAACGCUACGUGUCUAACCAUGUACUGUGUUUGCCAUUCUUUUGUUUAUUCGGUCGCUUUUUCAAUUUCGUUUUUUAUUUGACUCACCGCGGCCGUGACCGCUUAUAUCCGUGUUCAUUGUUGCUUUUUUCCGUUGUUUUUUUUGUCGAUUAUAUGCUUGCUUCUUCAAGAAAAACUACAUAACGUACUGUAUUUGUGAUUUGGAUGUGUAAUCUGAAAAAAAUGAUGUAACUAUUAAUACUUUUUUAGAAUUGUUUACCUAUAAAUAGGACAUGGCCUGCCCCCCUUUUUCAUGAGUUAUUGGCAGAGUGGUCGGAAUUGGCAGUUACUCCCUUCUUCCCCUCGUCAUUAAAAAACUGCAGCCAUAUUUGAUUCGAUUUAGAUAGGUUGAAUUAUAAGAAAGACACGUUGUCCUCACCAUAAAAUAAGAACAGAUAAGGGCUAAAAAUAAGCAACUAUUUUUCCCUCUUACAUGACAGUAUAUUAAUAUAAUUAUUAUUAAUGUUAUUAUUAAUAUUAUUCAUAGCAGUAUUGUUAGUUGCCAAGGCUAGGAGCAUUCUAUUUUGCUAAUGUGUAUUUUUAGUCAUAUUAUUUUGUAUUGUUUUCCAUUUGCUUCCAUGCUAACGUUUACAUUCGACCGUAUUUGUUCAAGGGAAUGUACAGCGAAGAUUGGCAACAUGCUCAGCUAGUUUACAUUACUGCUUGCCACACGCUGUGUUUCUAAAUGGAGUUUACUGGAAGGUUAAUUAACGCAAGGGUCCUAGGUGGGAUUUUUUAUCGAGGGGGGGAACAGAGCCUCCUCUACGCAGGUGCAAUAGAUGAAUAUGACAAUCACUUUUUAGGGCUGCCCUAGGAAAACUUUGUUUUUCAUGGUUUAUUCAAGGUUUGUUUAGUUUUCAUUUAUUUAUUUAUUUUUUACUAAUUGCUCAAAAAGCCAACUUUUUUUUCCCAGGACAGCCCUCCCACAUAUUGAAAUGUUUUAUUUUAGGAUUGCACCUCUCAAAAGCCUAAAGAGUUGAACAAUAAUCCGCUGAAGAAAGAGCUUGCUACUGUAUUUUUCUAGAGAACACUUCCGUAUAGACUGUAUCGAUUGAGCUUUACAAAUAUAUAACACACACUGUGACUGUCGCUAUUAAACCAUACAUAAGCUAACUCUCCUACGACGAGCCAACUCUAACACACUGCCACCAACACACACAACACGUCCACGACACAUAACACAACUGCAUAAAUAACUGAAAGGUUCACACAUUUUCUUUUUGCCAUGUCAGGUUUGUGUAUAGGAUAAAAAAUGAGAAUACUUGUGUUUGUGCUCGAUGUGAAAGAUGUUUAAAAAAUGACAAGUAGAUUAACCCUUGAGAUGUUGAAGGUGUUAGUGUUUACUCUUGACGGUUGUAUGAAUUUGGGUAAAAAAAAUCUCCUUUUGCUCAUUGUUGUCCUGCGAUGGCUGAAUCGGUGUGCGAGUUCUGAGUGGAACCGGUUUCGUCCGGUUUGAACUGCAGCAUCGACAUGUUGUCUUGGUGUAACUGCUGUAUGAAAACACAAACACACAGAAUGCUUUCUUGUGACACAUUGUUAAUAACAACCUCCCUUAUUAUUAUUAUUAUUAUUACUAUCGUUAUUAUAAUUAUGACUAUAACUGUGAUUAAUAUUAUUACCGCUACUGCAUUCUUGGAAUGAAAUGUACUUCUAUUUAUUUCUAAAUUGUUUUGUCUGUCCUCAAUUGUGUUGACCUUCAUCUUUUUCUAUGAUUUUUGUUUAUAACUUUUCUUUUGUUUCAUGUUACUUUUCUUUUUCUAAAUAGUGCGUAUAUUUCUCUUGAAACCCUCAUCUGUACAUUUGAGUGGACGGUAAUCAUCUGAUGUAGCAGACACUACUAGAGCUGCGGUAGGAAAGAAAGUGUGGAAGAAUUUAACCAUUAUUUUUUACAUCCUGAGUUCUUUGUGUAAAUAUUAACAGUGUAUCUGGUGUGUUGAAAAAAAGAAACAAAAAAAAAGAACAAGCCAUGCAGGUUAACAUUAAACUUCACUAAUGAUCCAUGUAAUAUGUGUGGUGUUUGUGUCUUAAUCAUUCUAUCCACCAUCCAUCCAUCCAUCCACCCCCACCUGCUUUAGCAUGUAAACAUGUAUGCGCACACACACACACACACACACACACACACACACACACACACACACACACACACACACACACACACACACACACACACACACACACACACACACACACACACACACACAAUAUGACAGUGGAGUCUCAAUAUUCAUUCUAAACAUCCACCAUUCAAAAGG